rnacentral:rRNA from 1 species
UCUUCUUGGAUGAGUUGCGAACGGGUGAGUAACGCGUAGGUAACCUGCCUUGUAGCGGGGGAUAACUAUUGGAAACGAUAGCUAAUACCGCAUAACAAUGGAUGACACAUGUCAUUUAUUUGAAAGGGGCAAUUGCUCCACUACAAGAUGGACCUGCGUUGUAUUAGCUAGUAGGUGAGGUAAUGGCUCACCUAGGCGACGAUACAUAGCCGACCUGAGAGGGUGAUCGGCCACACUGGGACUGAGACACGGCCCAGACUCCUACGGGAGGCAGCAGUAGGGAAUCUUCGGCAAUGGGGGCAACCCUGACCGAGCAACGCCGCGUGAGUGAAGAAGGUUUUCGGAUCGUAAAGCUCUGUUGUAAGUCAAGAACGGGUGUGAGAGUGGAAAGUUCACACUGUGACGGUAGCUUACCAGAAAGGGACGGCUAACUACGUGCCAGCAGCCGCGGUAAUACGUAGGUCCCGAGCGUUGUCCGGAUUUAUUGGGCGUAAAGCGAGCGCAGGCGGUUUGAUAAGUCUGAAGUUAAAGGCUGUGGCUCAACCAUAGUUCGCUUUGGAAACUGUCAAACUUGAGUGCAGAAGGGGAGAGUGGAAUUCCAUGUGUAGCGGUGAAAUGCGUAGAUAUAUGGAGGAACACCGGUGGCGAAAGCGGCUCUCUGGUCUGUAACUGACGCUGAGGCUCGAAAGCGUGGGGAGCGAACAGGAUUAGAUACCCUGGUAGUCCACGCCGUAAACGAUGAGUGCUAGGUGUUGGAUCCUUUCCGGGAUUCAGUGCCGCAGCUAACGCAUUAAGCACUCCGCCUGGGGAGUACGACCGCAAGGUUGAAACUCAAAGGAAUUGACGGGGGCCCGCACAAGCGGUGGAGCAUGUGGUUUAAUUCGAAGCAACGCGAAGAACCUUACCAGGUCUUGACAUCCCGAUGCUAUUUCUAGAGAUAGAAAGUUACUUCGGUACAUCGGUGACAGGUGGUGCAUGGUUGUCGUCAGCUCGUGUCGUGAGAUGUUGGGUUAAGUCCCGCAACGAGCGCAACCCCUAUUGUUAGUUGCCAUCAUUCAGUUGGGCACUCUAGCGAGACUGCCGGUAAUAAACCGGAGGAAGGUGGGGAUGACGUCAAAUCAUCAUGCCCCUUAUGACCUGGGCUACACACGUGCUACAAUGGUUGGUACAACGAGUUGCGAGUCGGUGACGGCGAGCUAAUCUCUUAAAGCCAAUCUCAGUUCGGAUUGUAGGCUGCAACUCGCCUACAUGAAGUCGGAAUCGCUAGUAAUCGCGGAUCAGCACGCCGCGGUGAAUACGUUCCCGGGCCUUGUACACACCGCCCGUCACACCACGAGAGUUUGUAACACCCGAAGUCGGUGAGGUAACCUUUUGAGCCAGC